UACGUAGGGUGCGAGCGUUGCCCGGAUUCAUUGGGCGUAAAGGGCGCGUAGGCGGCGCAACAAGUCACUUGUGAAAUCUCCGGGCUUAACCCGGAGCGGCCAAGUGAUACUGUCGUGCUAGAGUGCGGAAGGGGCUACUGGAAUUCUCGGUGUAGCGGUGAAAUGCGUAGAUAUUGAGAGGAACACCUGCGGCGAAGGCGGGUAGCUGGGCCGACACUGACGCUGAGGCGCGAAAGCCAGGGGAGCGAACGGG
rnacentral:rRNA from 1 species